UUUUGUGUAUGGUUUCAGGGUGAGGACGAGGAUAGCAGGGAGGAGACGGAGGGAGAGGAGGGCGGAGUCACCUUCAUUGCACACGUACCUGUCCCCUCCCAGAGACAAGUGGAGGAGGCUCUGGUCAGGAGGAAGAAGAUGGAGUUGUUACAGCGAUACGCCAGCGAGAGUCUUCAGGCUCAGAGUCAGGCGGCCAGGACUCUGCUGGGACUCUGACCUGUCCCCCCUGCCUGGGACCUGUCCCCCCUGCCUGGGACCUGUCCCCCCUGCCUGGGACCUGUCCCACCUGUGUUGAUGUAAAUAUGGCUCCUUUUUGUACUGGACGUGUUUCUUAUUAAAGUGUCUUCAGCCCA